AAGGCAGACUGCAGCAACAGUUCCAGGCGUGGACUGCAGCAUCCGGUCAGAGCGAUACCAGGCUGACUCAGCAUUUAAACCCAUCACUUCAGCAAUCACACACAUUUGCCAUACAGCUAUGAAGGGAAUGAACUCUGAUUAUAAACGCAAAAGCAUCAACACACAGGCACACCACAUGCACAUGCACAGGCAAAAACAUGUGCACCCACACACACACACACACACACACACACACACACACACACACACGUGCACACACACAAACACACACAUACACAACUGACACGCUGCAAUUUAAAAACUUGAUGCAAGUUAUGAAAACCGAAAAAUCAUGGAAAAUGUGAAACUCCUCUCUAAAUCAAUUGUCGUUUUGUGACAGAUAAGAUGGCGGAAUAUCUGAGUUUUUGGCCUGACUGCUUGACAUCCCGUUGUAUUAGACGUGGUUUUAUCCAUUGGAAAUAGAGCAAAACAAAAUACGAAAAAAAAUACUUAACAUACGCUUUGACACCUUUAGCAUGCAUGUGCUACAAUUACACACAUACACACACACACAUACACACAUAUACACUCAACCAUGCACACGUUCAGUCAGUCUCUCGCUCGCACACUUUUUAUUCAUUUAUAUAUAAAACUCACUGAGUGCUUAGUGUGUACAGUUUCAGUUAUGCUUUGAGUCGACGACAGCAAAACAAGUGACAACACACACAGAUAUACAGGGUUAAAUGCAUGAACCUAUAGUCACCGGGGCACAUCACCAAGCCACAUUCUCAUUCGUAUAAAUAGAUUAAAAACAACUUUGUUUCCACAUUCAGUUAGCAUUCCAUCGUUAAUACACAAGCCCUCUGCUCUCUUCAGCUCUUAAGUGCUUCCCACUAAAGCUCCAAUCUGAUUGGCUGCUGUACCAGUCUGUCUGUUUGAGUUCCUGUUCCGUUUGGCAGUUACCUGGUGAAGAGAGGGUGGCAGUAUUUCAGUCCAGAUGGAGAAGGAGUAUGGGAUAUACUUUGAAGACACAAACCUUAGCCCCGAGUUAAUGUUUUUUUAAAUCAUGUUUCACCAACACGCUUUCUUUCAUUUCUUUUAAUCACAAUCAGAGAUGUUUCCGAUAAUGAUGUGUACCUAGAGUAGCUUUGCUGUGAGAAUAUUAUUACUGGGUACCUACUCAGUAUUGGGUCUUAAUUUAUGCAACCACCACCAUUGCAAAGCUUUGACAUAAUCAUAAUCUCCUACUUAUUGACAUUAGUAAGAACGCUGUAAUUUAAAAACUGAAAACUGUUGAAAGGCUAUGCAAGGUCCAUAAACUAAUGUGGUGUCCCUCAUACAUCAUUUAAAGACGUCCAUUAAUGUCCAUGAAGUUCAUUUGAAUAAGCAUUAGCUCAUAUGUUCUGUAAAUUCGUUUUGAACUCUCCCUGAAAUCCUGCAAGGGAUCAACAAAGGGUUUACGAACAAUUGAUAUAGCCUUUCUGGUUUACUUUACAGCGGAUGAGGCCGAUAUUGUUUGGAUGCGUGGCUCUGUGAUAUGUAAUCGCGAUGAUGAUGUCCAGGUUUGCCUUGUGUAUGAGGAGUUCAACGCUUAAUGGAUUGAUCUCGAUGUUCUCUAUUCUGAAGGCACUAGAAAACCUUGCCUAGAGGUUCUGUAGAACAGACCGCCUGAAUUUCAGGAAGCUAUACUGUAUGCACCUGACGCUGCACCCUGUUUGCUGCUUCGCUCACGCCGCGAACCCAACCUGUUUUGGGUGUCGUCGACUAACGUCACCCUUUAGUUUCCAUCCGCGUCACACACAGAACACACAGUUGGCGACCAUUUGUUAGCCAACUGUGUGUUGGCUAACAAGUGGCGGCCAUUUGUUAGCCGUUAAAAUGUUUGCUGCUAUUCACACAAUUAUUUAAAGGAGAAAGAAUCGCAAAUUGGCAAUGAUUCGGGCUCUAGAUGUAGGCUAGCCAAACAGAAAGCGACAGAAGUAGAUAUCUGGUUGAAAGAAAGACAUUGCGAGAAAGGUGGGAUCCAAAAAGGAUAUGUUUGACGAAGCCUAGCUUAAAACUUGUGUCGCUUGGCUGCUUCGAGUGACAACAGAGAACAGGGUUGGGGUUAAACUGUUACACCCAGGGGUGAAGUUGUGUUAAAAUGCAUAUUCCUGAUCUCCAUUAGUCCAUAUACACACCUCUUCUACUACAUUUAAAGAAAUGUGUGUACAAAAAACGUCUCAACGUUGAAAGACGCAAUGCUAAUUCCUCUUUUGAGUUACCUUUUUGAGAAAUGUUUACAAAGAUGCUACUGCCAAUUCUUUGCCUUUACAGUACCUUGUAUAAUACUUUUGACCAUUCAAAGAAAGUAAAUAACUACGAGAAAGGCAAUAAAGAGUUGCUGGUAGACGUGCACUUAGUCGUACAGUCUUAGGAUGCCAUAAAAUCUCUCAACAAUUGACACAAGUUUCAGUUUUUUCUCUUUGCGAACAAAUGCGUAGUACAAAGGUGACGAUGAAAAAGUCCAUGCAGUGGGCCAUGAGGGGGUGGUGGACUAUGAUUGAACUGGCUGGAGGGUCACAUAAUUCACUUAAUUCUGGGAUAUUGAGAUACAUCAUGUUUUAUAUAUAUAUAUAUAUAUCAUGAUUUUUUCCAAAUGCAGUCAAACUGCACAGACACCCACACAGCAAUACAUUAACGUAAUUCCGACUACUCGUGCUCGGCUUGUCUGAUUGGUCGAUCGGUGGGGACGCCUCUGCUACAUUCCAACUGCUUUUUUUUUCCCAUAUUGCUUUCCGCCUUUUUCAUCUCUCGGUCCUCUGAGGCUCGGUCUUUGCGAGGCAAGAGUUUGUACUAAACAGCCACUCCUCUCCAUCUCUACUUUGACCGCUCAUG
ensembl:lncRNA